GGCGGCGUGCCUAACACAUGCAAGUCGAGCGGAGUCAGUAAGAGGAAGUUUCGGAUGGAAUCUGUUGAUUAGCGGCGGACGGGUGAGUAACGCGUGAGCGACCAACCUUGCACAGGGGGAUAACGGACCGAAAGGUUCACUAAUACCGCAUGAGACCACGGUGUUGCAUGACACAGGGGGUCAAAGGAGCAAUCCGGUGCAAGACGGGCUCGCGUCCGAUUAGGUAGUUGGAGGGGUAACGGCCCACCAAGCCUAUGAUCGGUAGCCGACCUGAGAGGGUGAUCGGCCACAUUGGAACUGAGAUACGGUCCAAACUCCUACGGGAGGCAGCAGUGGGGAAUAUUGGGCAAUGGGGGGAAAAACCCCUGACCCAGCAACGCCGCGUGAAGGAAGAAGGUUUUCGGAUUGUAAACUUCUGUCCUUGGUGAAGAGAAGAAGACGGUAGCCAAGGAGGAAGCCCCGGCUAACUACGUGCCAGCAGCCGC
rnacentral:rRNA from 1 species